UACCUUUUGUAUCAGGGUUAAUUAAAAAAUUUUUAAUUAAUUAAAUAUCUCGAAAUUAAAAGAGUUAAAUAUAUAAAAUUUUUUUUGUGGAAUUAAAAUUAUUAAUAUAUAUUUAGAGAUUAAAUGUUAUUCAAUUUUAAUGAUAUCUAGUUUUUUUUGAAUUAAAUUUAAUUUAUAUAUUUUAAUAAAAUAAAAUUUUAUUAAAAAUUUUAUUUUUUAAAAUAUAAAUAAUUUAUGGGAUAAACUAUAAAUUAAUUAUAUAAUAAUUUAAAUUUAUAAUUAAAAAGGAUUGAUUUUAAAAUUUAAAAUAUUUAAUAAGUAUUUAAUAAUUUAUUUAUAAAUUUAGAAAGAUUUAUAUAAAAAUUAAAAAAAAAAUAAUUUUAAUAAAAUUAAUUAUAUUAAAAUGAUUAAAUUAGUAAUUAAAAAUGUUUAAAUUAAUUUAAAAAUAAAUAUAUUUUUAAGGAAUUAAGCAAAUUAAUUAUAUUCACCUGUUUAACAAAAACAUGUCUUUUUGAUUAAAAUUUAAAGUCAGUUCUGCUCAAUGAGUAAUUAAAUAGCUGCAGUAUAUUGACUGUACAAAGGUAGCAUAAUCAUUUGUCUUUUAAUUGAAGGCUGGAAUGAAUGAAUCAAUGAAAUAUAAACUGUCUCAAUUUUAUAAAAUAAAUUUAAAUUUUAAGUUAAAAUGCUUAAUUUUAUUUAAGGGACGAUAAGACCCUAUAGAAUUUUAUAUAUUUUUAAUUUAUGAAAGUUAUAUAAUAUAUUUAGUUGGGAGGAUUUUUAAAUUUAAUUAACUUUAAUAUGAUAAAAUAUUGAUUAAUAAAAAUAAAUGAUGUAUAUUUAAUAAUAAUUAGAAUAAAUUACCUUAGGGAUAACAGCGUAAUAUUUUUGGAAAGAUCAAAUUGAAAAAAAUGUUUGCGACCUCGAUGUUGAAUUAAAAUAAAUUAUAAAUGCAGGAGUUUAUAGAUUUAGUCUGUUCGACUAUUAAAAUUUUACAUGAUUUGAGUUCAGAUCGACGUGAGUCAGAUUGGAUUCUAUCUUUAAAAAGAAUUAAAAUUUUUGUACGAAAGGACU
rnacentral:rRNA from 1 species